AACGCUGCGGCCCCGCCCACGUCAUGGCGCCCGAGGAGAACGCGGGGACCGAACUCUUGCUGCAGAGUUUGGAGCGCCGCUUCCUGGCGGCGCGUGCACUGCGCUCCUUCCCCUGGCAGAGCUUAGAAGCAAAGUUAAGAGACUCAUCAGAUUCUGAGCUGCUGCGGGAUAUUUUGCAGAAGCACGAGGCUGUCCACACAGAGCCUUUGGACGAGCUGUACGAGGUGCUGGCGGAGACCCUGAUGGCCAAGGAGUCCACCCAGGGCCACCGGAGCUAUUUGCUGACGUGCUGUAUAGCCCAGAAGCCAUCGUGUCGCUGGUCGGGGUCCUGCGGAGGCUGGCUGCCUGCCGGGAGCACCAGCGGGCUCCUCAAGUCUAUGUGGCCCUUACCAUCUGCAACCCAGAGACGUGCCAGCUGUUCACCACUGAGCUAUG
ensembl:lncRNA FAM86C2P family with sequence similarity 86, member A pseudogene